UGUGUUAUAUUCCAGACUGGCCUCAAAUCUUAUGUCUCUGCAUCUUCCCGUGCCCUGAUCCUUCCUUAUCUCCACCUCAGAUAACAGUUGUUUGGCACCAGGCCCAGCAGGUCUUGGCUUCUUAAAGAUGAAGAUAAAACUCACUUUCUUAGCAGAUCUCUAACAACUCAAACAAAAUCAUUAAAGAUUUUAUUGAUGAAGAAAAUAUUCCCAGAUGAUAAGAAGAACACUGGGUUAUUAUCGCCUUCCAUAGUCUGUGGCCAAGUGGUACAGGAUUAAGGGUCCCUACCCUGUAAUAGGAGCAUCCUUCUUCCCCUGGGUUCCAGCUGGCUUUACACUCAACAAGAACACUACAUACCACUCACAGAAGAAAUGGCUGGAAACCCAUUUUUUUUUUUAAGAGAAAAAAAAUCCACAGCAAAACCGAAAAUUGACAAGACAAAGGAACUCAGAGGUCAUGUUCCAAGAGGUUCUGUAUAGCUUCCUAUACAAACAUGCCAGUCACCUGCAAAACCUCCAUCUGUCACCAAAAUUAACUGAGCACCAGGAUGGGGACAUUCUAAGGCUCUGGGUGCCUGUCCUUGUGGUUUGAAUGGGAAAUGCACCGCAUAACCUCACAUGUUUAAGCACUCCAUCCACAGCUGGUGGUACUAGCCUGAACGGUUAUGGAACCUUUGGGAUAUACGUUCAGCUGGAAGAUGUAAGCCAUUAAGGAUAUGCCUCAGUGAGUUAUUAUACCUGUCUCCAGUUCCAGUUCACUCUCUGCUUUCUGUCCUCACACUAAGAUAUGACCAGCAGCCUCAAGCUCUAUGACAUAAGCCACUCUCACCUCCCAACCCUGCCAACAAGAGCUCAAAGUCACCACAGCCUUGAACCAUCCAUUUCAAAUGCAUUGCUAGGCAGCUCUGAAAAAUCCUGAAGGCUAAUUCAGACUUUAGGAGUCUUAAUUAUAUGGAGCAUCUAGAAGAUAUCAACCUCACUUCCAAUACUUUUGUAUUUCUGUGAGUAUGGAGGGAACACUGAGUAGAAGGGGUGUGAUGUGCAUACAACAUAUAUAUGCAGGGAAUUCCCAGCCUGGUUUGGUUGGUGCCCCAACCCCAAACCCACCCUUCACAGAGCUGUUAAAAGUAUCUGAUAAAGGUAACAGCAGGUUCACCUGUCACAUCAGACUCCAGCUUAAUUUUUAACGCCUUCACACUAAGCCUUGUGAUCUGAAAAAUCAACGUCAUCAUCACAGGAAGUCUUCGACCCUGCCCUUGACUUCCUGACUCCCAGCUGGCCUUGAAGGAGGUGCCCUGAAGCAGGUGUCCAAGCUCAUCUGUUUGCAUAUACAAGCUUGAGAAGCAGGGCUUGAGAAGAUAUAUAGGGGACAGCAUGCUCUCCUGCUUAAGCAUUUCAGCUGUUGAAGGCUGCAGAAAAUUUAGUCAGUAAUAAAUUAAUCAUUCCUGGA